rnacentral:rRNA from 1 species
AGUCGAGCGGAGACAGUGAGUAGCUUGCUAUGAGCUGUUUUAGCGGCGGACGGGUGAGUAACGCGUGAGCAACCUUUCCCAGACAGGGGAAUAACACACCGAAAGGUGUACUAAUACCGCAUAAGACCACGGGAUCACAUGGUUCUGGGGUAAAAGAUUUAUCGGUUUGGGGUGGGCUCGCGUCCGAUUAGGUAGUUGGUGAGGUAACGGCCCACCAAGCCGACGAUCGGUAGCCGACCUGAGAGGGUGAUCGGCCACAUUGGGACUGAGACACGGCCCAAACUCCUACGGGAGGCAGCAGUGGGGAAUAUUGGGCAAUGGGGGGAACCCUGACCCAGCAACGCCGCGUGGAGGAAGAAGGUUUUCGGAUCGUAAACUCCUGUCCUUGGAGACGAGUAGAAGACGGUAUCCAAGGAGGAAGCCCCGGCUAACUACGUGCCAGCAGCCGCGGUAAUACGUAGGGGGCAAGCGUUGUCCGGAAUAAUUGGGCGUAAAGGGCGCGUAGGCGGCUCGGUAAGUCUGGAGUGAAAGUCCUGCUUUUAAGGUGGG